rnacentral:rRNA from 1 species
ACAUGCAGUCGAGGGGUAGAGUUCUUCGGGACUUGAGACCGGCGCACGGGUGCGUAACGCGUAUGCAAUCUACCUUAUACAGGGGAAUAGCCCAGAGAAAUUUGGAUUAAUGCCCCAUAGUGUUAUAGAAUCGCAUGGUUUUAUAACUAAAGUUCCAACGGUAUAAGAUGAGCAUGCGUCCCAUUAGUUAGUUGGUAAGGUAACGGCUUACCAAGACAAUGAUGGGUAGGGGUCCUGAGAGGGAGAUCCCCCACACUGGUACUGAGACACGGACCAGACUCCUACGGGAGGCAGCAGUGAGGAAUAUUGGUCAAUGGGCGCAAGCCUGAACCAGCCAUGCCGCGUGCAGGAAGACGGUCCUAUGGAUUGUAAACUGCUUUUAUACAGGAGGAAACCUCCCUACGUGUAGGGACUUGACGGUACUGUAGGAAUAAGGAUCGGCUAACUCCGUGCCAGCAGCCGCGGUAAUACGGAGGAUCCAAGCGUUAUCCGGAAUCAUUGGGUUUAAAGGGUCCGUAGGCGGCCUUAUAAGUCAGUGGUGAAAUCUCCUAGCUCAACUAGGAAACUGC